GUACACGCUGUGACUAGCAUAUCAAUAAGCGGAGGAAAAGAAACUAACAAGGAUUCCCCUAGUAACGGCGAGUGAAGCGGGAAGAGCUCAAAUUUGAAAUCUUAAAGGGUUUCCCUUUACGAAUUGUAGUUUAAAGAAGUGUUUUCUGUUGAGGUUUUGGUAAAAGUUCUUUGGAAUAGGAUAUCAUAGAGGGUGAGAAUCCCGUAUUUGACCUUUACUUUCAACUUUGUGAUACACUUUCAAAGAGUCGGAUUGUUUGGGAAUGCAGUCCAAAAUGGGUGGUAAAUUUCAUCUAAAGCUAAAUAUUGGCGAGAGACCGAUAGCGAACAAGUACCGUGAGGGAAAGAUGAAAAGAACUUUGAAAAGAGAGUUAAACAGUACGUGAAAUUGUUAAAAGGGAAGCGUUUGACACCAGUGUUGUUUUUCUGAAAAUCAAUUAAAGAACUGUUUAUGCUAAGUUGUUUAGACUUUAUCAGCUAACUGUUUAGUUUUGAGCUUUUCUUUAAUGCACUUUUCAGUUAACAAGUCAACAUCAAUUUCUUUUGCUGUAAAAAAGCUUGAGGAAGGUGGCUUGAGAUUCGUCUUAAGUGUUUAUAGCCUCUUGCCUAUGCAGUCGGAGAGAUUGAGGUCUGCAGCGUAGAUCCUUCGGGGCUAAAUGCAUUUGUGCUAAGUUAUAGCAUUUUAUAGACAACUUGUUGACUAUGAUUUGUCUUGUAGCUUACUCGCUUAUGUUAUUUUACCUACGCUUAGGAUGUUGACGAGACUGUCGAUCUC
rnacentral:rRNA from 1 species